rnacentral:rRNA from 1 species
GACGAACGCUGGCGGCGUGCUUAACACAUGCAAGUCGAACGGAAAGGCCCUGCUUUUGUGGGGUGCUCGAGUGGCGAACGGGUGAGUAACACGUGAGUAACCUGCCCUUGACUUUGGGAUAACUUCAGGAAACUGGGGCUAAUACCGGAUAGGAGCUCCUGCUGCAUGGUGGGGGUUGGAAAGUUUCGGCGGUUGGGGAUGGACUCGCGGCUUAUCAGCUUGUUGGUGGGGUAGUGGCUUACCAAGGCUUUGACGGGUAGCCGGCCUGAGAGGGUGACCGGCCACAUUGGGACUGAGAUACGGCCCAGACUACUACGGGAGGCAGCAGUGGCGAAUAUUGCACAAUGGGCGGAAGCCUGAUGCAGCAACGCCGCGUGCGGGAUGACGGCCUUCGGGUUGUAAACCGCUUUCGCCUGUGACGAAGCGUGAGUGACGGUAAUGGGUAAAGAAGCACCGGCUAACUACGUG